GGGGGAGGGGCAAAAGGAGGGCUGGACUCGGGUACGAAGGGAUUCGGCGCGCUGGCUGCACCGGAGCGGACAGGUCGGCUGGGCGCAGUGACUCAUGCCUGUAAUCCCAGCACUUUGGGAGGGCCAGGAUUCAUUGUGUAAUGAAUUGAGUGGUGGGAAAACAGCAAUGAAUGAGACAGAUCCAGUCCCGGCACAAAGAAGGCUGUCCAGACCGGGGGAAGUGACAGGGUGGCCCGAAAUCCAAUGAUAAAUGACCUUAGAAGAGAAGGGGGGAAGACACAGAGGAGAAGGCCAAGUGAAGACAGAGGCAGGGCUUGGAGCAAUACAGCCACAAGCAAGGAACCAUCAGAGGCUGGAAGAAGAAAGGGUGAAUCCUCGCCUAGUGCCUUCGGCGGGAUUGCAGCCCUGCGCCGCCCUGAUUGCAACCUCUGGCCUCCGGAAUGGUGAAAUAAUAAAUUCUUGUUGUUUUCA